rnacentral:rRNA from 1 species
CAGAGGGGGCAAGCGUUGUUCGGAAUUACUGGGCGUAAAGGGCGCGUAGGCGGCCAGCUAAGUCGAACGUGAAAUCCCCGGGCUCAACCCGGGAACUGCGUCCGAUACUGGUAGGCUUGAAUUCGGGAGAGGGAUGCGGAAUUCCAGGUGUAGCGGUGAAAUGCGUAGAUAUCUGGAGGAACACCGGUGGCGAAGGCGGCAUCCUGGACCGAUAUUGACGCUGAGGCGCGAAAGCCAGGGGAGCAAACGGGAUUAGAUACCCCGGUAGUCCUGGCCCUAAACGAUGAAUGCUUGGUGUGGCGGGUAUCGAUCCCUGCCGUGCCGAAGCUAACGCAUUAAGCAUUCCGCCUGGGGAGUACGGUCGCAAGGCUG